GACGAACGCUGGCGGCGUGCUUAACACAUGCAAGUCGAACGGAAAGGCCCUGCUGUUGUGGGGUGCUCGAGUGGCGAACGGGUGAGUAACACGUGAGUAACCUGUCCUUGACUUUGGGAUAACGUCAGGAAACUGGGGCUAAUACCGGAUAGGAGCUCCUGCUGCAUGGUGGGGGUUGGAAAGUUUCGGCGGUUGGGGAUGGACUCGCGGCUUAUCAGCUUGAUGGUGGGGUAGUGGCUUACCAAGGCUUUGACGGGUAGCCGGCCUGAGAGGGUGACCGGCCACAUUGGGACUGAGAUACGGCCCAGACUCCUACGGGAGGCAGCAGUGGGGAAUAUUGCACAAUGGGCGGAAGCCUGAUGCAGCAACGCCGCGUGCGGGAUGACGGCCUUCGGGUUGUAAACCGCUUUCGCCUGUGACGAAGCGUGAGUGACGGUAAUGGGUAAAGAAGCACCGGCUAACUACGUG
rnacentral:rRNA from 1 species